rnacentral:rRNA from 1 species
AUACGUAGGGUGCGAGCGUUAAUCGGAAUUACUGGGCGUAAAGCGUGCGCAGGCGGUUAUGUAAGACAGAUGUGAAAUCCCCGGGCUCAACCUGGGAACUGCAUUUGUGACUGCAUGGCUAGAAUACGGUAGAGGGGGAUGGAAUUCCGCGUGUAGCAGUGAAAUGCGUAGAUAUGCGGAGGAACACCGAUGGCGAAGGCAAUCCCCUGGACCUGUACUGACGCUCAUGCACGAAAGCGUGGGGAGCAAACAGGAUUAGAUACCCUAGUAGUCC